UAAUCACUCCCUCCCUCCCUCGCGGCGUUUCUUGGAUUUGGCUCCGGAGGAGGAAUCCGGAGUGCCCCGUCCGCAUCUCUCGAUCGAAUCGCCGGCCCCGUCGCUUCCGCGGAGCUCCCCCGAUCCCGUCGCCCGGUGCGGUUCGAAUUCCGGCCGAAUUGGCGUUCUUGGCGAUCGGUUUGGAGGCGGGACUGGAUUCUUGAUUGGCUGGCCGGGUUGUCUGUGGGGAGGCUCCGUCGGCCGGGAAUCGCGCCUUCCUCGUCCGGCCAAGGAACUUGCUCAUAUGGUGUUUGCUAAAAUAGAAGAAUCUGCUAAAAGAGGUUGGACGGGGGCUGUACGUGGACAUGAACUCGUUCCAUGGAUUCGGGAGGGAGCAUGUGCCAUGGAACUUUGAGAAGACGGAGAACCAUGUGUACCUCAACAUCGUGCAGUAGCAGAAGCUGGAUCGCCAUGAGCUGGAACGCCCGUUGAAGAAGUCACUCUGCUCACCAUCAGUAUGACAGACUUGUCGCUCAUUAGAUCAUGAGGGAGGUGCGCUGGCUACGUCUCUAGGGACUGUGUGGCGGGUGUGACCUCUCCCAGCUCCCCGCCUUCGCCCGCGAUGACGAGGACCAGGUCCGCUGCGCCUCCAAUCCCAGAUCAUGGUCGCGCAGGACAUGCUCCAUGACGCUGUGUGUGUGUCGAUCUGAAGCUAUCCUCUAUUGCAUCUAGAGGCUUGUACAAGCCAUAGAUCAAAUCCGACAAGAUAAGAAAUAUGUGUGUCUGAGGAACCAAGACGCCAAAGGUUCAGAGCGGCAUUGUGCUGAAAAAGCCAGGACAAUGUAAGAGGCUUGCACACAAGGAUCUAGGUUUCUCUACGAGCAGCAGAAUCAAUAUCCGAUAGAAUAUAACAAUUACGGACGAGGAGCCGCAACCGUAGCUUGUUGAGAUGUUGCAUAGCUUUCAGAGAACUAGGAAAGUAAUGGUGGACUCUCAUGAAGCACAAAGACAGAUAAUGUUUGAGGCAAAUUCCUUCACCGGCCCUGCGUAUGAGAAAUUCUGCAAUGAUGCCCAGCGGCAUGCUACUCUCAAGCUGGAGGUCGAGCUUAGGAACUGGAGGUCCUGCUUCGUGAGCUACGUCAGUGCUCAGAAGGCGUACAUCGAAUCCCUUGAUGGUUGGUUGUCCAAGUUCAUGCUCACAGACACCAUCCGUUAAUCCCGGGGAUCUCCUUGAUCGCGCUCGACAGCACCA